rnacentral:sRNA from 1 species
GAGCGUAGCGAGAGAACGUUGCCGCAGGCAACGGCCCGAAGGGCGAGGAGCGAUAGCGACGAGUUAUCCUUCCCCCACCACCA